GACAAAUUUCUCUUUGGAUCUGCACUGUGGAUUCUUUUGAGGCCCUGUUGAAGGUCACCUGAGCUCAUGAGAACACGACCUCUUCUCAAGAUGUAUCAUUGCAUAGUAACAUGGACCAAUUCUUAGGGAACAUAAGAAUCUAUGUCCCAACAAAGAUAGAGGGGAUGCAGGAACUCCCUGGUUCAUUGUCUGCAUAGAGGAGAUAAU